AAUAACGAGCCAUGGAACUAUGGAAAGAGUGUGGAAGCAGACACUUUACUAAAGAAAUACAAACAUAUGGGGGAUGGUGCUUUUCUUGUAAGAGAAAGUAGAACAUUAACAGGCAACUAUAUCUUAAGUAUCUUGUAAGUAUCAACAGUAUUGUGUUAUGUCAUUUCAAGAUAAAAGGUGAAUCAAACACGGGGAAGGAAUAUGAAUAUAAUUGAGAAUAGAAAUGAGGAAAUGUACAACACUCUGACCAUAGAACAGAAAUCUAAAACAUAUUACUAACUUUCCAGAUAUUAGUUAUUGGAGAAAGACAUCUAAAAUUAAAAUUUGCUUUUAAAAAACUUAACUUGGUUGUAUUAAAAUGUGUUGAUUGUACAUAGUAUGUCCACAUAAAAAAGAAGAUGUGGUAUGAUUACCAAUGAGACAACUAUCCACAAAAGACCAAAAUGACACUGAAAUUAACAACUAUAGGUCAUCGUACGGCCUUCAACAAUGAGCAAAGCCCAUACCGCAUAGUCAGCUAUAAAGGCCCCGUAAGACAUGUAAAACUUCAAACGAGAAAACUAACGGCCUGAUUUAUGUAUGUAUAAUGUUACGAACAUCACAUUUCGAACAGUGAUAUACUACUGUUGCCCAUAUUCGGCUUAACUUUCAUAAGGAACGUUAUAAAAGAAACCAAAAUACCAAAGGAACAAUCAAGAAUCAAAAUUUGUGAAACAGCAGGCAAAACUAUGGCCAUAAAAACAACAACGAGAAGACAAAACACUACGCAUAGAUCUGAAUACAGAGCAACAUAAAUUGAUAUAAAAUCGGGUGAUAUAAGGUAAUCCGAAAAAUGAAGCAAUUCCUGCUGCAUGAGUUGCAAUUGUCGUGUUGCUAAUUGUUAGUUACUGCUCCACGAGUGAUACUCGCCUUAAUGCUCAUAGCAAGUAUAAAGUGGGUGAUAAAUCGUAUUCGCUUAGGUCACACACGAGAAAAGAAAAUGUCUUACGAUUUAAACAUAUCCGUUGAUAUAUGCUGUCCAAUCAAUUGAAACGAUUGGACGUUCCUGCACAUUAAUGAAAAUCACAAUACAGCAGAUAUUCGUCCUGCAAUUAAUUCAGUAUUUUAUAUGUGUUUUGAAAGACACAAAAACAUAUGUUUUGCCUUCAUUUUCGAUUUGAAAUUCCUUGAGGCCCGUGUAGUAAUACCAUACAGUAAUCACACGUUCAGCUGAAGACGUGUUCGCAAAAAAAAAAUCUCGAAUGUUCAACAAUGAUACAUCGCUCAAGGUGAAUAAAUAUUUAUUUCAACGUUACAACUAAUUUCAACAGUAAAAAGAAAUAACAAAACAUUGUCCAAUUUGAAACAGGAGUGUAUGAGUUGUCCUUCGCUUCAGACACGACAUUCAUUAAACAUGCAUGCUAAAAUUGACAAGGUUGUUUUUGUAACACAAUCAUACACAUUCAAGUUUUGAAAUCGAUAGUUGUCAUCGUUAAAAAGAUUGCUUUUCAUGUUUGUAUGUUAUCAGAAAAUUGGUGUGAUUCUUGUUGCUGUAAAGAAAUGUUUAAAAACAAAGAGAACGUAUAAAAGUAAUCGUUAAUUCGCACUUAAUACGUCAUUGGAAUACGACUGCAAUACUCAGUCUGGCAGUGGGCGGAGCUUUAAAAGCGAUAUCUGUAUAGUAUACAGAUACAGCAUAGAGAUAUCUGUAGGGCUGUAUAUUUAUAGUAGAACACCCAAUUGCAGGAUAAAAAUCAAAUAUUUACUAAUUAUGAUAAACACGGAUACUGUGUAUGAUUAUUAUUCGUUGGAUACUAACUUUCGUCGGGUUUCCGCUGGUACAUGUGAUCACAAAAUUAAAUAUUCGAUGUUUAAUAAUUUCCUUUUAGAAUUGUAUGCAGACUUUGGUCCUCAAUGUUCGUCAACUUUGUACUUGUUUGGCUUUAUAAUUAUUUUGACGUGAGCGUCACUGAUGAGUCUUGUGUAGACGCUUCGCGCGUCAGGUGUUAUUAAUUAUAAUCCUAGUACCUUUGAUAACUAUUUGGCAAACACACGAAAUAAUAUAUCCCCAAUCAUGUAAGUUUUCCUCUAUGCACGAAAAUUGGAACCCAAGAAAAUACUUGAAUCCACAGUAUGCAUUUAGCUAAUGCUAUCAAAAUAUGCAUCAGAUCGAUAACAAUAUAAUGAAGAGAAAAAAUACAAAUCGUCAUAUUUCAGUUGAUCAUCAUGCAUUUACUUAUUUACAAUGGAUAUCAAUGAACAUUUUCAGUACAACAGAUAAAUACUAAAUAAUAUGGAAUGAAACAUGGAGAACACAAUUUAUUUUUUGGCUAAUUGAUAUACAUGAUAUAUUUUAGGAUAAAAGAUGAAACAGUACAUUUGAGGAUACAUACAAAAGACGAGUCCGGACAAUUGAAGUAUGACUUUAAUGGAAACUUGUUUGAUAGUCUUGAUAACUAUAUCGAAUUUCUAAAGCAUGGUACGCAUAUAUUUGUCUUUGGUGUUUCAGAUAAAGCAAUUUCACUAACUAACCCUAUUCCGAAAUGAAUAAAUCGUAUCGCAAAGAGUUGUGUAACCAGGUAUAUUACAACGGCGUACAACAUGUACAAGGCAAUCUGCAGUCUAAUCAACAUGUGUUUUAAAUUAAAUUAACAAUGUAUGCUCUGUUUCAAAGCAACAAG
rnacentral:lncRNA from 1 species